rnacentral:rRNA from 1 species
AGCGAACGCUGGCGGCAGGCCUAAUACAUGCAAGUCGAGCGGGUCCUUCGGGAUUAGCGGCGGACGGGUGAGUAACGCGUGGGAACGUGCCCUUUGGUACGGAACAACUGAGGGAAACUUCAGCUAAUACCGUAUGUGCCCUUCGGGGAAAGAUUUAUCGCCAUUGGAGCGGCCCGCGUUGGAUUAGGUAGUUGGUGAGGUAAAGGCUCACCAAGCCUACGAUCCAUAGCUGGUCUGAGAGGAUGACCAGCCACACUGGGACUGAGACACGGCCCAGACUCCUACGGGAGGCAGCAGUAGGGAAUCUUGCGCAAUGGGCGAAAGCCUGACGCAGCCAUGCCGCGUGAAUGAUGAAGGUCUUAGGAUUGUAAAUCUCUCACCGGGGACGAUAAUGACGGUACCCGGAGAAGAAGCCCCGGCUAACUUCGUGCCAGCAGCCGCGGUAAU